rnacentral:rRNA from 1 species
UACGAAGGGGGCUAGCGUUGUUCGGAAUUACUGGGCGUAAAGCGCACGUAGGCGGACUAUUAAGUCAGGGGUGAAAUCCCGGGGCUCAACCCCGGAACUGCCUUUGAUACUGGUAGUCUCGAGUCCGGAAGAGGUGAGUGGAAUUCCGAGUGUAGAGGUGAAAUUCGUAGAUAUUCGGAGGAACACCAGUGGCGAAGGGCGGCUCACUGGUCCGGUACUGACGCUGAGGUGCGAAAAGCGUGGGGAGCAAACAGG